AUUGAACGCUGGCGGCAGGCCUAACACAUGCAAGUCGAGCGAGCGGCGGACGGGUGAGAAAUGUCUGGGAAACUGACUGAUGGAGGGGGAUAACUACUGGACACGGUAGCUAAUACCGCAUACCAUCAGAUGUGCCCAGAUGGGAUUAGCUAGUAGGUGGGGUAAUGGCUCACUUAGGCGACGAUCCCUAGCUGGUCUGAGAGGAUGACCAGCCACACGGGAACUGAGACACGGUCCAGACUCCUACGGGAGGCAGCAGGGGGGAAUAGUGCACAAUGUGCGCAAGCCUGAUGCAGCCAUGCCGCGUGGGGGAAGAAGGCCUUCGGGUUGUAAAGCACUUUCAGCGGGGAGGCGUUACCCGCAGAAUAAGCACCGGCUAACUCCGUGCCAGCAGCCGCGGUAAUUC
rnacentral:rRNA from 1 species